rnacentral:rRNA from 1 species
UACAGAGGAGCCAAGCGUUGUCCGGAUUGACUGGGCGUAAAGCGCACGCAGGCGGCAUCGCGCGUGGGGUGUGAAAUCUGGCCGCUUAACGGCCAGGCGCCAUCCCAUACGGCGAGGCUGGAGCGAUGCAGAGGUCGGUGGAAUUGCCGGUGUAGUGGUGAAAUGCGUAGAUAUCGGGAGGAACACCAGUGGCGAAGGCGACUACCUGGCCUGUUCUUGACGCUGAGGCGCGAAAGCUAGGGGAGCAAACGGG